rnacentral:pre_miRNA from 1 species
UAGAAUGUUUUGACUCUUCGUCUUAUUUGAAAUAUUUUUACGAUUAAAAAUUUUAUUGUUACUAGAUGGUAAAACAUGAAUAAUACUUUAUGACUAAUUUUUUUAAGUUUUUAUGUAAAUUUUUUAAAUAAGACGAAUGGUCAAAACAUUGAACACGGACAUCGA